UCCCCUUGCUCUGUCUUCCUCUUGCUCCAGUCAUGUGAGACACUCGCUCCCCUUUGACCUCUGCCAUGAUUGUAAGUAUCAUGAAGGAUUAUUUCUCCACUCAUAGGACACAAAGCCCUCUCCUGUGUUUUCUUCUUUGAAUUUUACAGUUUUGCCUUUCCCAUGAACAUCUCUAUUCCAUAUGCGUUUACUUCUGUAUGAA
rnacentral:lncRNA from 1 species